rnacentral:piRNA from 1 species
GGGUGCUGGGAAUCAAACUCUGGG